CCUACGGGUGGCAGCAGUGGGGAAUAUUGCACAAUGGGGGAAACCCUGAUGCAGCGACGCCGCGUGAGUGAAGAAGGAAUUAGUGAGGGAAAGCUCUAUCAGCAGGGAAGAAAAGGACGGUACCUGAGGAAGAAGCCACGGCUAACGACGUGCAAGCAGCCGCGGUAAGACGGAGGGGGCAAGCGUUAUCCGGAUUGACUGGGGGGAAAGGGAGCGUAGACGGCAGUGCCAGUCUGGAGGGAAAGGCGGGGGCUCACCCCCCGGACUGCUCUUGAAACUGUCCGGCUGGAGUGCAGGAGAGGUACGUGGCAUUCCUCGUGUAGCGGUGAAAUGCGUAGAUCUUAGGCGGACCUCCAGUUGCGAAGGCGGCUUACUGGACUGUACCUGACGUUGAUGCUCGACAGCGUGGGUAGCGAACAGGAUUAGCUACCCUUGUAGUC
rnacentral:rRNA from 1 species